UGAUAGCUCAGCUGGUAGAGCAUGAGACUCCUAAUUUCAGGAUCAUGGGUUCGAGUCCCACAUGGGGAGAA